GGGCCCGCACAAGCGGUGGAGCAUGUGGUUUAAUUCGAAGCAACGCGAAGAACCUUACCAGUCCUUGACAUGGGUAGUUUGGAUUUUGGAGACAAUCUCCUUCAGUUCGGCUGGCUACCACACAGGUGCUGCACGGCUGUCGUCAGCUCGUGUCGUGAGAUGUUGGGUUAAGUCCCGCAACGAGCGCAACCCUCAUCUUUAGUUGCCAUCAGUUCGGCUGGGCACUCUAGAGAAACUGCCUGCGAUGAGCAGGAGGAAGGCGGGGACGACGUCAAGUCAUCAUGGCCCUUAUGGACUGGGCUACACACGUGCUACAAUGGCGGUGACAAUGGGCAGCGACAGAGCGAUCUGAAGCAAAUCUCAAAAACCGUCCCAGUUCGGAUUGUACUCUGCAACUCGAGUGCAUG
rnacentral:rRNA from 1 species